GCCCGGGGCUGCGGGCUGAGCCCGACGGAUGGGUGGGUGCACAGAUUACAGGUCUGGAGGUCUGGAUUAGUGACGGAGCGCCUGCCGUGUUCCCCAGGACCGCGCUGUGCAGGGAGGAGCUUCCGGGCGAUGCUAAGGCCCGGGUUGUGGCCGAGCUCCUGCAUAGUUCACCGUAACCCAGGUGCAGAGCAUUCAGUCUACUACUUUCCGCCUCCCACCCGGGGCGCAGGAGCCUGGGCUCGGCAUCCCGGGGGGAGCGAGCGCAUCGUGACCUUGAGGAGGUGGCGAUCCGAGGGCGUGGACCCGGGCCAGCUAAACGCCGACCGCUUGAGGGUGCAACGACAGAGUGAUGCAGAGGAGGAGAAGCGAGGCGAGCCCUCAGAGGUGCUGCCCGCCGAGGACGCACUGCAUCGGUGCAGGGCUCAGGUGACAUCUGCUGCUGAGCAUCUACUUGGCGGACACGCUACAUCCCUUGCUCCUCCUGUAGGUUUCAAGGUGAACACGCCGCGUGACCUGAAGUCUGCUAACUUGGCCAGAGCACCCCGUGUUGGGUAGCACCAGAGCUGGGCUUGAACGCUUUUCUGCAGCUUUGGUAAUAAUCACCCUUGUAGUGGGUGACUACGCUCUGCUUGCAGCUGCUGUUCCUCUUCCUCUUCUCUUUCCUGGUCCCACAGCAUCCUAACUCCCUUUGACUUGUCUGGGCCAUUUCCUGCUCCAGGAAACACACCUUUAACCACCAGAUUCUCCCAGACGGCCAGGCGCACCCAAUACAAAACCACCAGGACCUAAGGUGCAGAAGGUCCUCUGUCAAGUGUUAUUCUCAGCCUGUACCCCCACACCCAGCAUUCAGGAAGCUGAGACCCAGGGGUCAUGAGUUCCAGGCCAGGUUGGGCUACAAGGCAAGACCAUGUCUCAAGAGAAAACUGAAAUGUAGGUGAUGGUAGUGGAGUGAGCACACGUGUUACAGGAGACCACUCGGGGUCAUUCAGCCCACCCUGAGGGGCCAGGUCCCGGAAGCUUCCCAAGGAGGGGAGGGGUGGUCCUGGCAGACACGCAGUGCACAGGGCCACAGAGGUGGGCAACCACCGGAUGGGCUUGGGUAAAGGUUAAAAGUGCAAGAGGUGAGAGGGAGGCUGGAACCAGUCAGGCGUGGAUGCAGCCUGGCACCCCGUUCUGGGCCCAUCCUGGGGAGUUGGGAAAACACUUCUGAAAGAAUGCCACCCUCAGCCAGGAGCUGAGAGAAAGCCUGUGGAUGACUCGGUGCACACAGCAUGGGUGAAGAAGUAGCUGGGCGAUGAGGGCUGUGGCCUGGUGCUUCUCACCAAGGCCACACAGGAGUUGGUGAAUGCCAAAAGUUAGGAAAUGAAGGCCAUAGUACUUAACUCAAGAUGCUUCUGGUGUCUGUAAGAUUAGAAUUAGGAAAACACUUUGAGCCUUUUCUUCCACUUAUUUCAAAUGGCAUCAGGGUAGCCAAGCAUGAUGGAUGUGCACACCUGUAAUCCCAGCACUGAAGGAAGCUGAGGGAGGAGGAUCACAAUGAGUUGGAGGCCAGCCUGGGGUACACAGUGAAGGGC
ensembl:lncRNA